rnacentral:rRNA from 1 species
GGAUUGCCCCAGUAACGGCGAGUGAAGCGGCAUACGCCCAAAUUUGAAAUCGCGCCCCUAUCGGGGAUCGAGUUGUAAUUUGCAGAGGGUGCUUCGGCGUUGGCGCCGGGCCAAGUCCCUUGGAACAGGGCGCCUGAGAGGGUGAGAGCCCCGUCCUUGCCCGGACCGCCUCCGCCGCCGGAAGCCCCUUCGACGAGUCGGGCUGUUUGGGAAUGCAGCUCCAAGCGGGAGGUAAAUUCCUUCUAAGGCUAAACAUUGGCCGGAGACCGAUAGCGAACAAGUAGAGUGAUCGAAAGAUGAAAAGCACUUUGGAAAGAGAGUCAAACAGCACGUGAAAUUGUUGAAAGGGAAGCUCUUGCCGCCAGACCGGCCGCGGUCGUUGCAUCCACGCCCUCGCGUGUGGUGUACCCGAUCGUGGUGGGCCAGCGCCGGUUGGGGCGGCCGGACAAAGGCUCCGGGAAUGUGGCCCCGCUUGUCGGGGUGUUAUAGCCCGGGGUGCAAUGCGGCCAGCCCCGAUCGAGGCAUGCGUUCGCUAGGGCGCUGGCGUAAUGGCCGCAAGCGACCCGUCUUGAAACACGGACCAAGGAGUCUAACGUCUGCGCGAGUGUUUGGGCGGAUAAACCCACACGCGUAAUGAAAGUGAACGGAGGUGGGAACCCCCUAGGGGGGCGCACCAUCGACCGAUCCUGAUGUCUUCGGAUGGAUUUGAGUAAGAGCGUAGCCGUUACGACCCGAAAGAUGGUGAACUAUGCAUGGAUAGGGUGAAGCCAGAGGAAACUCUGGUGGAGGCUCGCAGCGGUUCUGACGUGCAAAUCGAUCGUCAAAUCUGUGUAUAGGGGCGAAAG